UCAAGUGAAGAAGCGCAUACGGUGGAUGCCUUGGCAGUCAGAGGCGAUGAAAGACGUGGUAGCCUGCGAAAAGCUUCGGGGAGUCGGCAAACAGACUUUGAUCCGGAGAUCUCUGAAUGGGGGAACCCACCUAGGAUAACCUAGGUAUCUUGUACUGAAUCCAUAGGUGCAAGAGGCGAACCAGGGGAACUGAAACAUCUAAGUACCCUGAGGAAAAGAAAUCAACCGAGAUUCCCUUAGUAGUGGCGAGCGAACGGGGAUUAGCCCUUAAGCUUCAUUGAUUUUAGCGGAACGCUCUGGAAAGUGCGGCCAUAGUGGGUGAUAGCCCCGUACGCGAAAGGAUCUUUGAAGUGAAAUCGAGUAGGACGGAGCACGAGAAACUUUGUCUGAACAUGGGGGGACCAUCCUCCAAGGCUAAAUACUACUGACUGACCGAUAGUGAACCAGUACCGUGAGGGAAAGGCGAAAAGAACCCCGGAGAGGGGAGUGAAAUAGAACCUGAAACCGUAUGCGUACAAGCAGUGGGAGCCUACUUGUUAGGUGACUGCGUACCUUUUGUAUAAUGGGUCAGCGACUUAUAUUCAGUGGCAAGCUUAACCGUAUAGGGUAGGCGUAGCGAAAGCGAGUCUUAAUAGGGCGUUUAGUCGCUGGGUAUAGACCCGAAACCGGGCGAUCUAUCCAUGAGCAGGUUGAAGGUUAGGUAACACUGACUGGAGGACCGAACCCACUCCCGUUGAAAAGGUAGGGGAUGACUUGUGGAUCGGAGUGAAAGGCUAAUCAAGCUCGGAGAUAGCUGGUUCUCCUCGAAAGCUAUUUAGGUAGCGCCUCAUGUAUCACUCUGGGGGGUAGAGCACUGUUUCGGCUAGGGGGUCAUCCCGACUUACCAAACCGAUGCAAACUCCGAAUACCCAGAAGUGCCGAGCAUGGGAGACACACGGCGGGUGCUAACGUCCGUCGUGAAAAGGGAAACAACCCAGACCGCCAGCUAAGGUCCCAAAGUUGUGGUUAAGUGGUAAACGAUGUGGGAAGGCUUAGACAGCUAGGAGGUUGGCUUAGAAGCAGCCACCCUUUAAAGAAAGCGUAAUAGCUCACUAGUCGAGUCGGCCUGCGCGGAAGAUGUAACGGGGCUCAAACCACACACCGAAGCUGCGGGUGUCACGUAAGUGACGCGGUAGAGGAGCGUUCUGUAAGCCUGUGAAGGUGAGUUGAGAAGCUUGCUGGAGGUAUCAGAAGUGCGAAUGCUGACAUGAGUAACGACAAUGGGUGUGAAAAACACCCACGCCGAAAGACCAAGGGUUCCUGCGCAACGUUAAUCGACGCAGGGUUAGUCGGUUCCUAAGGCGAGGCUGAAAAGCGUAGUCGAUGGGAAACAGGUUAAUAUUCCUGUACUUCUGGUUACUGCGAUGGAGGGACGGAGAAGGCUAGGCCAGCUUGGCGUUGGUUGUCCAAGUUUAAGGUGGUAGGCUGAAAUCUUAGGUAAAUCCGGGGUUUCAAGGCCGAGAGCUGAUGACGAGUCGUCUUUUAGAUGACGAAGUGGUUGAUGCCAUGCUUCCAAGAAAAGCUUCUAAGCUUCAGGUAACCAGGAACCGUACCCCAAACCGACACAGGUGGUCGGGUAGAGAAUACCAAGGCGCUUGAGAGAACUCGGGUGAAGGAACUAGGCAAAAUGGCACCGUAACUUCGGGAGAAGGUGCGCCGGCUAGGGUGAAGGAUUUACUCCGUAAGCUCUGGCUGGUCGAAGAUACCAGGCCGCUGCGACUGUUUAUUAAAAACACAGCACUCUGCAAACACGAAAGUGGACGUAUAGGGUGUGACGCCUGCCCGGUGCCGGAAGGUUAAUUGAUGGGGUUAGCGCAAGCGAAGCUCUUGAUCGAAGCCCCGGUAAACGGCGGCCGUAACUAUAACGGUCCUAAGGUAGCGAAAUUCCUUGUCGGGUAAGUUCCGACCUGCACGAAUGGCGUAACGAUGGCGGCGCUGUCUCCACCCGAGACUCAGUGAAAUUGAAAUCGCUGUGAAGAUGCAGUGUAUCCGCGGCUAGACGGAAAGACCCCGUGAACCUUUACUGUAGCUUUGCACUGGACUUUGAGCCUGCUUGUGUAGGAUAGGUGGGAGGCUUUGAAGCGUGGACGCCAGUUCGCGUGGAGCCAUCCUUGAAAUACCACCCUGGCAUGCUUGAGGUUCUAACUC
rnacentral:rRNA from 1 species